GCAUGGUUCAGCUGGUGAGAGCCUGGUGCUGAGAAUGCCAGGGUUGCUGGUUCGAUCCCCAUAAGGGACAGCUGCA